AAUAAAUACUCCUCUAGAUGCCAUCUGCCUAAUGUGCAAAUUAAGAGAGGCAGAGGGUGUAUUCACUGCUUGGGUCAACAUUUUCAAGAAGCCCUAGCCCUCUGAAAAACGUGAUAAUCAACAUUUUCUGAUCAUUUAUUUCCUGUGCUUCCUUUCCUUGUUUCCUCUGCAAUGACUGCCAAUGGUUUUGUGUGUUCUGCAGAGAACAGACAGCACAGUAAGCACCGGCUCUGGCUGCAACACACCCGUCUUUCCCAAUUAAGCAAAGCAAAGACUGCAGGUGGUCAUCUGGCCUCCACCCAUCACCAACAAACCCAGCUGCUGCGAACAAGCACUGAGCACAGCGCUCACUUCCUAAUCCUCAGAAUAAAAGGGGUCCUAUUUAAUUUUCAUAGAAACCAGUGGCAAGGUCCUCCUGACUUUGAUGCUCAGAACAAGCCCACCCAAAGAACAAAACAUGAUCUCAGACCAGAACAAGAGUCAUUUUAAAGCUUCAGCAAUUCUUUAAUAAACUGUAGAUGAUAAAUAUCAGUAUUAAAUCCAGCCAAUUUUUUUUUUUUUAAUUCAGGCAAAUAUAGAAACAAAACUCCAACAGUGGAGUAAUACAUGGGAAUUGCAUGUUCUUACAUAUUUACAAAGGAGAUGAUAUACAACAAUUCUUAUAACUUAUCAGCAGUACUAUCAAUAUGGUGUUCAUAUAUGUUAAGUCUCAAACAAUCUGGCUAGAGACACUAGCUUACUGACUGGUCAACAUGCGUAUAUUAGCUGGAACUGCUUUCACUUCUUUAUAAUACAAGAAAAUAAGAA